UAGGGAAUCUUCCGCAAUGGGCGAAAGCUUGACGGAGCAACGCCGCGUGAGUGAUGAAGGUCUUCGGAUCGUAAAACUCUGUUAUUAGGGAAGAAUAAAUGUGUAAGUAACUAUGCACGUCUUGACGGUACCUAAUCAGAAAGCCACGGCUAACUACGUGCCAGCAGCCGCGGUAAUACGUAGGUGGCAAGCGUUAUCCGGAAUUAUUGGGCGUAAAGCGCGCGUAGGCGGUUUUUUAAGUCUGAUGUGAAAGCCCACGGCUCAACCGUGGAGGGUCAUUGGAAACUGGAAAACUUGAGUGCAGAAGAGGAAAGUGGAAUUCCAUGUGUAGCGGUGAAAUGCGCAGAGAUAUGGAGGAACACCAGUGGCGAAGGCGACUUUCUGGUCUGUAACUGACGCUGAUGUGCGAAAGCGUGGGGAUCAAACAGG
rnacentral:rRNA from 1 species